rnacentral:rRNA from 1 species
CGGGAGGCAGCAGUAAGGAAUAUUGGUCAAUGGGCGGAAGCCUGAACCAGCCAUGCCGCGUGCAGGAAGACGGCCCUACGGGUUGUAAACUGCUUUUCCGGGGGAAGAAUAAUCCCGACGUGUCGGGAGACGACGGUACCCCGGGAAUAAGGAUCGGCUAACUCCGUGCCAGCAGCCGCGGUAAUACGGAGGAUCCGAGCGUUAUCCGGAUUUACUGGGUUUAAAGGGUGCGUAGGCGGGCCCUUAAGUCAGCGGUGAAAUGCGGGGGCUCGACCUUCGAACGGCCGUUGAUACUGGGCGCCUUGGAUUCGGUCGAGGCGGGCGGAAUGCGACAUGUAGCGGUGAAAUGCUUAGAUAUGUCGCAGAACGCCGAUUGCGAAGGCAGCUCGCCGGGCCGAUAUUGACGCUGAGGCACGAAAGCGUGGGGAUCGAACAGGAUUAGAUACCCUGGU